rnacentral:tRNA from 1 species
UGUCCAGGGAUGGGAACCGAACCCACAAUGUUCCGCUUAACGGGCAGAUCCCAUGUCCAUUAGGUUACCCAGUAC